CGUCGGAUAUUAUUUCGGUCAGUGUAGACUUCAUUUUGUAGGUGCUCUUCACCAGCAAUAGACGCAAUAGGGGAUUGGACGCAACAAUGUACAUACCACAACAUAGAAUCCUUAUAAUAAAAAUAUUUUUAAUGAUAAAGGAGGCAAAUGCCUUUAGAAUUUAUUGAUAAGAAAGAUUUGCAUAACAAAGUAAAAAAAAAGGAGAUAUAUACGAGGAUCAAAAUAUUUGAGAAGGAGUUAUAAAGAGUUCCCACAUAAGCAAGUCCU
rnacentral:lncRNA from 1 species